rnacentral:rRNA from 1 species
UACGUAGGGGGCAAGCGUUGUCCGGAUUUACUGGGUGUAAAGGGCGUGUAGCCGGGCUGACAAGUCAGAUGUGAAAUUCCGGGGCUCAACCCCGGACCUGCAUUUGAAACUGUUGGUCUUGAGUAUCGGAGAGGCAGGCGGAAUUCCUAGUGUAGCGGUGAAAUGCGUAGAUAUUAGGAGGAACACCAGUGGCGAAGGCGGCCUGCUGGACGACAACUGACGGUGAGGCGCGAAAGCGUGGGGAGCAAACAGG